AAUAAUAUAGGGUUAUUGCUUGAAUAUUGGGGUAUAUUAUCAUUGAUGACGUCAUAAAUUUGAAGAUUUAUUGCACUAGUGCAAUAUUAGAAUUUAUUGCACACUACUUUUGGUUAAAUUUAUUGCACACUAACUUUUGGUUACUUUCUGUGGGAAAUAUUAUAUUGCUAUACUAUAUUACAUUUAUGAUUUUAUUUUCUCUACAGAAGAGACAGGCCUAAUUUGGGCAAGAAAUAAAUGUUUAACUUUACUGUGCAAUUGAAGUGAAAUGUGUAUGUCUUUUUGCAUGUUUUUUUUUUACUGAGUAUAAGAUAAACAGCUAUCAAUAAAUGAAUCUGAAUACCAUAGAUAUUGUACAAUGUAGUACCAUUUAUAUCAUAUAUAUAUAUAAUGUUUACCUAUUGCCUAUUCUCUAAAAUUGGUUUGAAAUGAAUAGAAUUGAAUUAUGAUGUUAUCUUUUAAAAUGCAAUUGUUGAAAUUAAACAAAACCCUGAAAAAUGUGGCAUUAUUGUAUGUUGUUCACUUUCAUGAUGUUAUUUUAGAGGAGUAACAAAGUAAUGCAUUUGAAUACAUAUCCACAAUAUAUCUUUUUUUAAGUUUCUAUGGGCUGUUACAAGACAGGCUCUGCAGAUAAAAGUCUAAAUCAAACUGUUUUUACAUUUAAUAUUAC
rnacentral:lncRNA from 1 species